rnacentral:rRNA from 1 species
UACGAAGGGAGCUAGCGUUGUUCGGAAUCACUGGGCGUAAAGCGCACGUAGGCGGAUUUGUCAGUCAGGGGUGAAAUCCCGGGGCUCAACCUCGGAACUGCCUUUGAUACAGCAAGUCUUGAGUUCGAGAGAGGUGGGUGGAAUUCCUAGUGUAGAGGUGAAAAUUCGUAGAUAUUAGGAAAGAACACCGGUGGCGAAGGCGGCCCACUGGCUCGAUACUGACGCUGAGACGCGAAAGCGUGGGGAGCAACAGGAUUAAGAUAC